CCCUAUGGGGUGCAGCAGGCGGGAGAGCGGAUCACUGAACUGGAGCAGGAAGAAGCAGCCGCUAUCCUAAAAGUUCAACAAACAGGAGAAAAACUGAGUCUGAAAAGGCACCAGGCGGCUGAGCAAAUGGGGCGUGCAGUAGAACAUGAGCUCACCGACCUCAGCCUCGCCGGGGCACAAUUUGUGGUGGCUUUUGGCGAUCAGCCUGAAGCGAACAAUAAGGACCGGAGACAUACAGCAGAAUUUAAAGAAACAGGAUUAGAUGAAGUUGAAUUCCUAAUGGCGCCAAACCCGGGAGAGGGGUUAAAACCCUUGGUCAAGAUCGCUUCUGGCGGAGAGACAUCACGGUUAAUGCUGGCGCUAAAAAAUGUACUGGCAAAAGCAGAUUCCAUCCCCACGUUAAUUUUUGAUGAGAUAGACCAGGGAAUUGGCGGGAGGGC
rnacentral:rRNA from 1 species